GAAAAAGAAAAUAUUAAAAAAAUUAUGUGGGGCGGGGUGCGCGGAUUGAAAAUGAAAAGAGUUGUUAUGCGGGGCGGGGCGGAUUAAAAUUUUUGGGGCUUAAGCUCAACCCGUACCGCCCCCGCCCUACACCGCCCCAUUGCCAUCCCUAUUUUUACUUCUAAGAAAACUCUAAACGAAUUUCUUGACUAAUUAAAGGCUCAAAAUAAUCAGAUUUGCAUCUCUUAAUC
rnacentral:lncRNA from 1 species